rnacentral:rRNA from 1 species
GACGAACCGUGCGAACGUUAUUCGGAAUCACUGGGCUUAAAGCGCGUGUAGGCGGGACGGCACGUCGGCCGCUGAAAUCCCCCGGCUCAACCGGGGAAGGGGCGCCGAUACGACCGGCCUGGAGGGACGUAGGGGGGGCUGGAACUUCCGGUGGAGCGGUGAAAUGCGUUGAGAUCGGAAGGAACGCCCGUGGCGAAAGCGGCUCACUGGACCAUUACUGACACUGAGGCACGAAAGCUAGGGGAGCAAACAGG